CCCUUCCAGACUCCUUAGCCCUCAUAUCUAAAUAUUCGUUUGAGCACCUAAAGGAGGAAAAGUAAAACUGAAGUGGAUUUGGAGUCUGUACUGACAUUUUGAGUUCAUUUCACACAUAU
rnacentral:snoRNA from 1 species